UAGGGAAUCUUCCGCAAUGGACGAAAGUCUGACGGAGCAACGCCGCGUGAACGAUGAAGGCCUUCGGGUCGUAAAGUUCUGUUGUUAGGGAAGAACAAGUACCAGAGUAACUGCUGGUACCUUGACGGUACCUAACCAGAAAGCCACGGCUAACUACGUG
rnacentral:rRNA from 1 species